rnacentral:tRNA from 1 species
GGGGAUGUAGCUGAGAUGGUAGAACUCUCGCUUAGCAUGCGAGAGGUACGGGGAUCGAUACCCCGCAUCUCCA